rnacentral:lncRNA from 1 species
GAUCUGGCGUCGGGUUCGAUUAUUUGUUAAGGGUAUCGACUUCCAAGAACAACAAUUCAAUUCAGAGAGGCACUCCAUUGUGUCCAAGGAUUUUCACCAGUUAGGGCUUCAUUGCCCCCAUAUUUAGGUUCCUUUUGGAAGAGGAGUAGAUUAUCUCAUCCUCAGCAAGAAUGCAAGACAGAAUCUUGAGAUGGAACUCUUGGAAGAGGAGGAGAUUGCAAGUACUGUAUUUAGCAAUAGCUCUGCAGAUGGAACUAAACAAAGUAGAUGUAGAUCUGCAAUCUUCAGCAGGUUGAGGUCCCCGGGCUGUUUCGUUCUUUAUUAUGCGUAUGAGUUUUUCAUUGUGUACUUCAGGGAUCAUUUUCAAAUUUCAAUGUCAAUGGGCACAUGGGCAACAUGCGUGUAUGCAAAUGUCCACACCUACUGAGGUCGGUUUUGUUUUGUCUUCCUAAUCUCAUUGUUUUGUUUUAUACUUGUCGGCAUCAUGAAUGAGUACAUUACAUUUUAGAGCUGGAGGUUGCUUUCUCCAUUGUACUUGUAUCUCCAAGACUUCAUGUAGCAAACCUGCAUGCUCUUGUAGAGGCUCAAUUCACCAUUAGCCGCAAACAAAAGGGGG